rnacentral:rRNA from 1 species
GGUUUGAUCCCUGGCUCAGAUUGAACGCUGGCGGGAUGCUUUACACAUGCAAGUCGAACGGCAGCACGGACUUCGGUCUGGUGGCGAGUGGCGAAACGGGUGAGUAAUGUAUCGGAACGUGCCUAGUAGCGGGGGAUAAUUCACAAAGGAAAGGUAGCUAAUACCGCAUACGCCCUUCGGGGGAAAGCGGGGGACCUUCGGGCUCGCACUAUUAGAGCGGCCGAUAUCGGAUUAGCUAGUUGCGGGUAACGGCUCACCAAGGCGACGAUCCGUAGCUGGUUUGAGGACGACCAGCCACACUGGGACUGAGACACGGCCCAGACUCCUACGGGAGGCAGCAGGGGGAAUUUUGGACAAUGGGGAAACCCUGAUCCAGCCAUCCCGCGUGUGCGAUGAAGGCCUUCGGGUUGUAAAGCACCUUGGCAGGAAAGAAACGGCACGGGAUAAUACUCCCGUGCAACUGACGGUACCUGCAGAAUAAGCACCGGCUAACCACGCCAGCAGCCGCGGUAAUACGUAGGGUGCAAGCGUUAAUCGGAAUUACUGGGCGUAAAGCGUGCAGGCGGUUCGGAAAGAAAGAUGUGAAAUCCCAGAGCUUAACUUUGGAACUGCAUUUUUAACUACCGAGCUAGAGUGUGUCAGAGGGAGGUGGAAUUCCGCGUGUAGCAGUGAAAUGCGUAGAUAUGCGGAGGAACACCGAUGGCGAAGGCAGCCUCCUGGGAUAACACUGACGCUCAUGCACGAAAGCGUGGGGAGCAAACAGGAUUAGAUACCCCGGUAGUCCACGCCCUAAACGAUGUCAAUCCACGUUGGGGCCUUCGGGCUCCUGGUAGCGCAGCUAACGCAAGUUGACCGCCUGGGGAGUACGGUCGCAAGAUUAAACUCAAAGGAAUUGACGGGGACCCGCACAAGCGGUGGAUGAUGUGGAUUAAUUCGAUGCAACGCGAAAACCUUACCUACCCUUGACAUGUCUGGAAUCCCGAAGAGAUUUGGGAGUGCUCGCAAGAGAACCGGAACACAGGUGCUGGGCAUGGCUGUCGUCAGCUCGUGUCGAGAUGUUGGGUUAAGUCCCGCGACGAGCGGCAACCCUUGUCAUUAGUUGCUACGAAAGGGCACUCUAAUGAGACUGCCGGUGACAAACCGGAGGAAGGUGGGGAUGACGUCAAGUCCUCAUGGCCCUUAUGUAGGCUUCACACGUCAUACAAUGGUCGGGACAGAGGUCGCCAACCCGCGAGGGGGAGCCAAUCCCAGAAACCCGAUCGUAGUCCGGAUCGCAGUCUGCAACUCGACUGCGUGAAGUCGGAAUCGCUAGUAAUCGCGGAUCAGCAUGUCGCGGUGAAUACGUUCCCGGUCUUGUACACAACUGCCCGUCACACCAUGGGAGUGGGUUUUACCAGAAGUAGUUAGCCUAACCGUAAGGAGGGCGAUUACCACGGUAGGAUUCAUGACUGGGGUGAAGUCGUAACAAGGUAA